ensembl:lincRNA
AUGCCAGCAAGCUGGCUUGUCUUCAAAGCGUGCCCCAGCACACAGGUGGGGCUGGAGGCCAGCCCCUUGGGCACGCACGGGAGUGAAGGGGUGCGCCCAGGCCUUCCACCUCUGUGGGCCUGCACUCCCUCCGCUGUCUCAGGAGCGCGAGCAGACCCAGGGCGGAGGUGGCUGGGCACUGCCCGUGAGCGCCGCACCUGUGGGACAUGGGCAGGCCCUGGCAGCGAGGCGGCAGGGAGUUGUCCGCCCAGCCCUCCCGGGGACUCAGUGAGCUCGAUCUUCACCCCGGCUGGGCGCCCACCCUUCCUGCAAAGGACGAGGAUGCAGCUGGCUGGAAGUGGCCGCAGGCCGCCCGGGACCCAGGCCCUGCGUCCUCUGCAGCCUCGCCUGGCGCUGGCCCACCUCUUGCCAUCCCAUCCCCACCUGCCGGUCCUCUGCUGCCACAGUGCUGCUCUCGCAUCCAGCCGCUGCCAGCUGCUGCCCAGCACCAGCACUGCAGGUCCUCAGGAAGUCUGCUGACUGAGUGGAGGAAUAAAUGAGUGUGACCACUGUGCCCACAGAGCGGCCCGGUGUGGUUUAGGAAAGAGGAGGGAGGGAAAAGCACCCAAUAGAAAGCCACCGGACCUGGCCUCCAUUUCCUGCUCUGCCACAAGGCAGCUGGCUGGGGGGAGCAACUGGCCCUUUCCAGCCUCAGUCCCCUGCUUGGAGGCCAGAGGGCUGGACACCCGCCCUGACCCUCCCGGGCCUUUGGGCUUGCCCUCUGUGAAAUGGGCUGGCAAGCAAAGCCCCAUCCUGCGGUCGUCGUGAGGCCAGACGCACAAUGAAAAGGCCUUGGCGGAGUUUCCUGCGGAGUCGAGGUCAGGGACAGAGAGCGCUGAUCUUCUGCCAUUAACAGUCGAUGAUUCUAAACAGCAUUCAAAUAAUCAGCUCGCUUUCUUCGCGGCCACAGAAUAAAGAGCAUUCAUUCCCGUGGAUAUAGCACUCUUUGGUUCUAACUUUCCUUUUCUUCCAGAAAUAUGCUCCUCAUGGAAACAAACUGAUGAUCAGGACUUGGAUUUGGUUUCCUAGUACAGCAGUCCCUGCUUCCUGCUGGGUGGCUUCCUGAGAGACUAAAGGAACUCCAUAUUAGACCAAUGAAGCUGCAUAUCAGCAUGUGACAGGGUCAAAAUGAGAACUAAAAAUGUAAAGAUCCAGGAAAAAAAAAUUCAGGAUGAACUGAAGAACUUUUCCAGUAGUCAAAUAUGUGAAAUCUAUUUCAUUUUCCCCAGACUGGCCCCCUUUGCCCAAGCAUACCUUUCCCCUGCCAAUAUAAUUAAGAGGUAAUCAGGAGAUAAUCAAAACUGUUUCACAGUAAGGGCGAUAAAUAGCUCCCGUCUGCUCAGUAAGUGGCCAGGCUGCAGGCGAAACGGCUGCUCAGCGAUGUCGAGGGAGAGAUUGGCUCUUUGUUAAGGCAGAAGCAGAGUCAAUUAUUGCAAUUAAACUCUAUCAAGAUGCCUUGAAUUUAAUCAAAUAAAAAGUUUUAUUUCAGGAGUUAGAAGAAAAGUGGAUACACAUGAGGGAGAGGGGCUUUGGAGACGUGGGUCGGCGAAGUCCAGCUCAGGGCCGUGGGGGCCUCCCUAGGGCCCCUGCUCAACCACACGGCACAGGAAGAACUACGGCCCAGCAACACGCCACUUAGCAAGGCCCUGGCUGGUGUUUCGUACAAAGUUAGAAGAGCUGGGCUGUGCCGGAGAGGCCUUCUCUUGUCUGUUCCACUAACGUCUUUGGUGACCUUUCCAGGAGCAAACCCCAAACCCAGCAGAGCCGUGGUCGCGACUCCUGAGGAGCGGGGCCACGCUCAGGGCCACCCAGGUCCAGCCACGCUGGGGGCCGGGGGGGCCGGGGGGGCCGACACACGUGGCAGGUGGAGAACCAGGGCCGACGGGUUUGCUUUUAUUUGCACACAAAGGCUCGGCGAGCAUUCCCAAACGAAGCGAGCCCAGGGAGAGGGGAGCAGGGCGGGGCGGCGCUCAGGGUCGCGGACGGAAAGGCGUUGCUCUCCAAGUGAUGGACACCGGACGUGCUUGCUGCGCCAGGGAGGGCAGCAAGAAGCCCCAGGAGGCGGUGUGGCGGGCUGCUGCUGAGGCUGUGCCGGAGCGGAGGCCGAGCACGGCCGACAAGCAGCACCGAGGCUGCGCUCCGCGGCUGGGGAGGGCCCGGACCAGCCUCGUCCCCCUCGCGUACUCGAAAGGAAAGCGUCAGAUCAGAUGGCCCCAGAGGCCCCAGGGAACCCAGAGCUCCCUGGCAACUCUUGUAGCCGCAGACUCCAUGAACGUUUUAUCAGCUGGCUAAAAGCGGUUGCAUUUUCUAGGAUAAAGUCAACAUGAACUUGGAGUCUUAAUUUGGGAUUCUCAGCUAAGCAGAAGUGGGAAAGCGCGUCCGACAGGAGCCGGGAGAGUUCUGGCACAGGCGGGAGCAGCAGUUAGGAGGAGCCAAGGUGUCUGGAUUAGCACCUCCCACAGCCUGGGAUGAGAGCUGAGCAGCCUGGGGGAGAGCUGGGCGCAGCCCGUCGGCAGCAGGCGCUGCCUGGCAGCGGGGGCAGCGGGCCUUCCAAGCCCAGCUGAGUCACUCACGGCAGGAGCCCUGGUCUUCAGGAACCGGGCGGAGGCACAGCCCCCUGGGAGCGGCCGGCUCAGGAGGCCUCGCCAGGGAGCACAGGCUUCUCCGCACGGCCGGGAAGGGGCGCCGAGGCUGUGGGCGCCAAGAGCCGCCAGGCCUCAGGACCUGCUGAGCGGAGCCCAGGAGACGGCUCCCCGAGGGCUUGGCACCGGGAGCUAAGCAGAGCGGCAUGUCUGGCCACUAGGUCCCCGCCUGAGGCAAGGUGUAAAUGUGUAUUACUUUGUGCUUUAACCUCAAUUUUUGUUAGACUUUUUUCCCUUUGUCCUCCUGCUAAAAAUUCAAUCUCUCCAUCACCAGGCAAGGAAUAUAAUAACUAGACUUUAAAUUAUUUAUUCCGAGUGCUCUUUGCUUCCUGGCUUUCCUGUGCGUUCCCUGGGGAUGCACACACUUUGGUCUAUUUAUGAGGGCAGGGAGCCCUCGGCCCCGCUGUGAGCAUCUCAUCAGUCAGGGCGGCAGCGCGCUCCCCAGGCCGCGGCCGAUAGCCGGUGCAGCCGAGGCUGCAGCUGGCAAAACCCGCAGAGCCAGGGGGCGUGUGCCCGCUCUUCUCCCGAGCCCCGGG